UUUCCCUCACUGAAUGGUCUCAGCGCCCUUAUGGAAGGCAUAUGGCCAUCGACUUGCUUGUGCUUUGUUCCUGGACUUUGAAUUCUGCUCCUCUUGGCCUGGAUGCCCACCUUUAUGCUAGUAUUACUCUUUCAGGGCUACUGUUGCUUUGCGAUAAAACUUAAACUCCAAACAUAUCUUUACAGGACAGAAAUGUAUGCUGUAUCUUCAGAGAUGUGGUCAUACUUUUACUGAGCACAAAAACAAAACCAACCAAACAAAACCCCAAAAACUCAAGACGACUGGAAACUUGGUCACUGCCAGCUAAGGAAGCUUGUGAAACUUGGUCCCUGCUGACCAAGCAACCAGGGAAUCGGAUGAUGAGCGCUCCAUCCAGCUUCCAGGUAGAUCAUGACAGGUGUGGCUGGCCUUACUCGCAGGCCGAAGCCAGUCAGGAUGAAAAAGCUAAGAGUACGGCUGAUAUUGUGGACUGUUCUCCAGACUGGCCAGGUCCCAGAAGGAUGCUGGGACCUGACAAAGUGACCCCACGGCUCCAGCUCAACAGAGGGUGCUGAGGACUCCAGAGUCUGAGUUGGAACCAGGAUACAUUUUGAAACAAAAGGAGGCUCACUGCCAUGGAAAUGUCUUCAGUCUUCCAAGGGAUGCCACAUGGUCAGCACAGACUGGACCCUUCCUAACAGAUGGCACUGAUGGGGACAGAACUCAAGGGAGAGAGGGUCUCAUCCUAAGCCCAUAAAAGAAAAUGAUUAAUUGGGGGCCACCUACAUAGUAUUUAAACACCUAACAAUUAAGUAUAGCCAAUGAGUGAAUGAUAGGGGGAAAAAUCAAACCAUAAAAGAGAGCUACACUAGACUUUAUCAUGAGGAAAACAGUGAAUUAGACCUCCCUGGCCUCCCCUAAUCCCAAGUGUGUGCUCCUGGCAUGCCAGGUAUGAUAAUCACAGCCACCUAACUAUAAUCAGAUUAAAGGACUCUUGGGCUUUUACUAA